UGCUCGUUAGUGGAGAGGUGCCACGUCAGGCUCAUAACCUGAAGACCUGGGUUCGAAUCCCAGACGAGCCA
rnacentral:tRNA from 1 species